CUUUGCUUAAGCAUAUUCCCAUCGUUUAUUUAUCAGUAUCCAUUGCUCUCUGCUCGCUGCACAAUUAAGUUGUUUUCUCUCUGUGUCCAAAUUCCAGAUGCAGAUGGUUGGUGCUAGCGCAGCCAAUGCACCUGCGCUGUUGUAUAUGUUGUAGUUUUACCCCAAGUUUGGCUCAACAUAUCCACACUGCAGCUUUAUUAUGUGCCUCUUCGAUUCGACAUGGUUAUAGGCUUGAUGUAAUAAGUGUAUGCUGAUGGUAGUUGGCCCUUGGCCAACCAUCUCGCUAGCUAAACCUGGAUUAUACAUGUUAUCACCAAGUUGUCACUUUGAGUUUACAAGACUGCAACUUUAAUUAUUGGGACCAUUCGGAGUUCUGAUCUAUAGCUUUCUUCUUUGCUGAAUGAUUUAGAGGGCCUCUGUCUGAGUGCUGAUAUGCCGGCAGGCCUAUGCUCACUCACGGUUAAGAACUAAGUAGGAACCCACCUUGACACAAGGUCUACACCUAGCCCUCGCGUGUUGCCUCUCCGCAACGGCCUAGCCGCCGGCAGUACACCCCACCCCACCCGUCCUCCUCCUCGCCGCCGCCUGAUCGCUUUGCCAGGCAAAGCCGCGCAGCUGUGGUCGCGCGUCAGGACUGUUUCUCCUCGCUCGGGUUUUGUGGUGCGGGGCCUGCUGGUCUCAGCCGAGGCGCUUGGCUCGCCCGGCGGUGUGGGUGUAGUUGCUGCCACGUGGUUGCGGUCUUGUCCGGUGCCCGCCGUAGCGGCUUCUGGUCGGGGACGGGAGGAGCUGCGCUGGUGCUGUGAAUCCAGCGAGCUGGUGCUCAGAUCUGUCGUCUGGCCAGGAUGACAGCGAGUGUUUUUUUUAGAGAAGGAGGAUGACCCGCGGCCUCUGCAUCUGGGCUAUGCAUACGGCCACUUUAUUAAUUAUUCUCACAAGAUCUUACAAAAUCAAUACAACAGUAAGACUAAAGCCGCCGUCUAAACAACAAACUGUCGCUACACCUAUCCAGUUGAUGAAGGAGCGCAGAUAGCCUGGGCCUAAUACCAAACAGACAUCGCAUCCAGCCUAACAUCUAAGACCUGAGACCCCAACCUAGCCACUUGCCGGGUCUGGGCACACACUGGUCCGGCGUGCUCUCAGAGGCCACCGCCGCCAACUGUCACCGCUCCAUCUUCAGAAUUGUACUGAUGCAUCAACCUUGCUCGGUCUAGCUAUCGUCGACGCCACCACGGCGCGCAACGGCACCUCCUCCCUGCGUGCAAACCGCUGAACACGUCGCGGUCGCCACUGAUACACCUCAGCACCAUGCUGCCAAGUAUCACCAACCGACACAGCUUGAAGUCCUUGGAGAAUCUGUCGUGCGUAGCACCUGCCGACUAGGCAUGACCAAGCGUAGCACCUGUCGGUCAGGCAUGACUUGACAUCUCCACCAAAGCUCCACCUCCUGCCUCUGACUUCCAGCGCUGCUCGACAAACGAUGCUCCAAGAGAGAAACGACACCGUAGUGCCGCCAUCGUCCGAUCUAAAACACCAGAUCCUAGGGUUUCCUCCGGAGCAGUAUGAGUGGGUCGACAAUAAUUACACGACGAUGCCUUCAUGAAGGUAACGGCAUAGAACGCCGCCAUCGCCUGCCGUCGGCUCGGUUUUCACCGGCAACCAUGUCUCCCCAACUCGCAGCCGGGACUAGAUGAUGGAUCUCGAGAUCCGAUCAACAAGCUUCUGGCCGGCCACCGCCGACGAACAGGAUGACCACCAGCACUGGCUACACCGGCCAAAACAGAUCUGCCAUGGGUGCCGCCAAGCAGUCCACCAAGUCCUGACGCCGCCGCCGAUCUAAAGCCAGAUGACAUGCCGCCGAAGACCGCAUCACGCCGCCGCCCGAUCCAGGCCAGCCGCCACAGCAGCCGCCCGUGGCCCGGGGCAGGGCCGACCGCCGCCGCUGUCGAAGCCAACGCCGUCGCUUGUAGAUCGGCCGCACCUCCACGCAUGUUGGGGUCCCGCCACCCCUGAGACGCGGGAGGGAGGAAGAUCCCCCGCCACCGCCGUCAGCCUCCGGACGCAAGCCGGCGGCGUCCUCCGGCGGCGGCAGGAGGAGGGGAGGAGGAUGGGCUAGGCCCCAGCGGCGGCUAGGGUUGGGGAGCCACCCGAGUCGCCCGAGCGGGCCUUCUCCCUCUCCCUUUAGUGACCAUCGAUGACAGCGAGUGUGGCGUGGGCACAUGGCCCUGGGGCACGGCUGUUCUCCGGCAUGGAUCUGGCUUCCUCCGGCGGCUAUGGCUCUGCUGGUGUGGUGCGCAACGGUGCAUGUGCUUGUCUGCAUAGGGGUUGGUGCUACAAGUGUUCUUUGGCCGUCGCUGGGGCGUGACGAGGUGGCCGGACGACAACGGUUCGUGGAUCUGGUGCGAGGGAGGUCGUCGUCAUGGGGCCUAGCCGGUGCGUUAUUGGCAUUGCCAGGUGGCAGUUGGCAAUGAGGGCUCCAAGGUAUUUCUCAAUAGCAAGGACGGAGGAUGGCUGUAUGGCGGUGCUGCACUUGGAGGUGGGAGCGGGCUGUCAUGGCGGCGUGAGCAGUCAUCUUGGUGGUGGGUGGCGGCGGUGAGCUGAGUCACGUGCUUGGUUGCUGCCGGUGGUGGUUUGGUCGGUUGGCUGUGGUGACGUUGGGUUUGGUGAGCUCCCGACGAAAGCCGAGCGAUGUCGGCGUCUGUGGUGUCCUAGGACGUCGUUUCCUCUUUGGUGGUGGCGCCAUGGAGCCCCUUCACCCCCCUUAUGAGCUUGGUCGGGAGGUCUCCGGGUGAAAACCCAAGCUUCGUCUUUUCUCAAAGCGGGUGUCCACAACAGUCCACGUCGAUUCCCCAUUGGAGGUGAAGCCUUGGUGGCCUGGCCUCUCGUCAGUUGGUGGUGGCUCAUGCGGUUUUGUUAGCUUCAUCGUCGGGCUAGGCAAGUGUGUUGCCUUGGGAUCGGUGUGGAACUCGUAGAGGUGAUUCUGGAAGUCUCCUGUGCAUGGUGUUGUCUUUAGUCCAUUGGGCUGCAAUAUCAUCCACUUAGUUGGUUUGCGGCCUCGAGGCUAGUGGGGAAGUCGGAGAGGUGGCUCCAGAGAUCUCAUGUGCGCAAGGGUGUUUGCUUUGGUCGCUAGGGUGAUGGAGCCAUCGACAAGGCUAGUGGGCAGCCUCGGGGUCGGCAUCAACAUCGGAGCGGCAGCUCCGGAAUACGGUGGUGGGUAGUAGGUGUCGUCUCUUGUCACUUAGGCCGCAAUGUCCUCGGCUCGGUUGGUGUGCAGCCUUUGGGCUGCCGUGUGCGCUUGUUACAAUGUAUUGAUUUUCGAAAAGUUUUUACAAUUCUCUUCUUAAUGAAAAUAUANNNNNNNNNNNNNNNNNNNNNNNNNNNNNNNNNNNNNNNNNNNNNNNNNNNNNNNNNNNNNNNNNNNNNNNNNNNNNNNNNNNNNNNNNNNNNNNNNNNNNNNNNNNNNNNNNNNNNNNNNNNNNNNNNNNNNNNNNNNNNNNNNNNNNNNNNNNNNNNNNNNNNNNNNNNNAAAGGAAAUCACAUUUUCAAACACAUUGAUGUGUUUGGCAUCAACAAACAACAUUAUUUUUUAAAACAUAGUAUAGCUCCAAUACUGUGUUUUAUGUACUAGCUGAGAAAAACAAUCUAUUUAUAAAUUUUAGUAUUAAUUCCCAGGUAGUGCAAUACUUAAGUUUUAUAUGGCUACAUUUUUGAAGGAAUUAUAGUGCAUAUACUUAGUUAGUAGAUUUUUUUUCCAAAAAGGAAGGACAAGCCUCCCUGCCUCUGCAUUCUCAUAUGCUUACCAUCAUAUUUUUUUAAAGUUGAUAAAGCCAACGAGGCCUUAUAAAUAGGCACAGUACAAGACAUACACAACUAUGUCAAAACCAUUGCAAGACAUGAAUUUAUUUUACAAAAUACUUAUAACUAAGUCGACUUAUUCAGCAGAAACACCUUCAAGAAGGGAUAACGCACUGCCACCGUCAUGUCCGGCUCGAGACAGAGAUAACAAGGAUUUUCAUCAUGAGUGCUAUGACCAGCCAAUGAAGCCCACCAGUAUAGAGACAACAUCUUCAACAACUAAUGACACAAUUUCAUUGAUGCUAAGUAAGAUCAGCAAAGGCCAAAACAAUAGUUUCAUUGAUGCUAAGUAAGAUCAGCAAAGGCCAAAACAAGAGUUUCUACGCAAAACGAUUGUGGUGUCCAGCGGAGGUGGACAUACAAUUUUUACUGUCAGGUUGUACUUGGAAUAUUAUAAGUGUAUCAAUAUCGAUUUAGAGAAUAUACGUGAGUAAACUACUAGCUAUUGUAAUUGGAACUUGGAAGAUGCCCAAUUUGGUCUGUUGGUGCGACAUGGCAUGAUUUAUCACUUGAGCGAACAAUUUCUUGCUUACCAUGCCUAGAGUUCCACUUAUCUAUUAGGCGAGGCGUUUGGUCAUUGCCUAGCGCUUAAGCAUGCCUAAGUACCUCCUCGGAGUUGCCUUUUCCAACAGAGUCAAAAAUACACAGGUGAACAUGGUUCCACGCGCAUCCAUCGUGAAUAGUAAAAUUAAAAAAACUAGAAAAAUAAAAAAUUUCUCAAAUUUUGGGUAUGAAACUUGGUCGACCAUUCUACUCGCAUAUGAAGUUUCGUGAAGGAAUAGUACCAGGUUGUUCCAUAGUGAAGAAAAUCCAAUCCGGUCUUGCUAUUCUAUCAAACAGUAUUUUCAAAUACAACUUUUAUUUAGAAUAUGCUGUUUGCAAGAAUAGUAAGAUCAGUUUGGGGUAUCAAACUUCCUCAACCAUUCUACUCGCUAUGAAGAUUCAUGAAAGAGUGAAACCGGGUUAUUCUGCGGUGAAGAAAAUCCAAUCUGAUUUUACUAUUCUUUCAAACAGUGUUUUCAAAUAUAGAUUUUUUCGAGAGUACGCUUAGGCAUACCAUAAUUUUUAUAGAAGGCAGAAGAAAAGUACAAGAGACUAAAAUUUGAUGUGAACAACAAGUGUAGUUGAACCUCCACACACACCAGUUAAUCAAAAUAUUAGCCACCACAACUAUUGCAAACACAACGCAUAGGGCAUGCCCUAAAAAGAUCAUCAAGCCGCAUCUCAACCAACACCGGUCACCUCGAAGAGCAACAAUUUCAACCAAACUUUUCUAGUCGACGCACCAACCACUCUUGAAUGCCUAAGAGGAGACGACAGGUGGGUAGUGGACUCAGUCAGACCCGAGAACGCAAUCGUCCUGGACACACCGGCAGCUGCAUACAUAGCGCCCAUGAAGAUCAGCUCGAUCAGACCAGCAGCAAGCACUACUAGAGAACCACAACACGCAAUCUGCAUGGCAUGUCUCCACACACGAUGCUCCCAACAAAGUAACAAUGCCAAGACGCCCUUGUCACCAAUCCGGCAACUUACAUAGUCUUUCACCCAGAGAUAACAACCCAAGCAAGGAGGGGGAGAUGCCAAGACACCUUAGUGACGCCUCCAAGGAGGGGAAUGACACCCCUGGCGUCGUCGCUGCCAACUGCGACAGAAGAUAGACGAGAUUUUGAUCAAUAACAUUGCACACCUCCCACCCUCCCCAUCGGAUUGUGGCGAUACUGUCCAUGUUGGGUCACUCCGCCGCCGCCGUAGCACCUCGCCAUCGUUACCAUAAUGUCAUGGAAUAGCGACAGCCCACACGAUAGAGGAAAUGCAGGCCAUCUUCCACCUCCUGCAUGACCGAGAAACAACAACACCAGCCCAAUCUCCAUAUCCAGCGCAGCCAAGGCUGCCGUCACCACAAGAAGCAACUAGUCAUGCCACUCAGUCGGGCAGUCUCGCUGCGACUGCACCAUUGGGACCUAGACCAGGUCCAAGAUGGACCUAGAUCCGGUCCGUGCCGCAGCCUCCUGCUCCCAAGCCGGAGUUUCCGUCUACGACAUCGGCAUCGCUGCAUCACCAAUGGCACCACUGCACCGCAGCCACCGCCCGGCUGCCGCUCGCGUCGCAUCACCUUGCCGAGCGCCGUUGCACUAUUGCAAUUGUAGCCCAUCCACGCCGCCAUUGCCAAAGUACAAGCCGACGCCUCCCGAAGGACCAGCGCGUGCCAGUACCUCUACCGUGAGUUCACAGCCAUGCUCCACCGCUCCAAGUGCUCACCGCCGUGCGACGCGACAUCGAAAAGAAUCCCCGCGCCGCCCACUUGACGCCGCUCCCUCGCAUGUGGGUGGCCCAUUGGGGCAUGCCGACCACAUGCACCAGCCGCCUUUGACGGCCGGGCGCCGCCACCACCGCCGAUGCCGGCGGGUGGGAUCACGGGAAGGAUGGACUUGUGGGGAUAGGUUUUGCCUUCGGAGCCGCCCGCACGAGCGGCCCAGGAGGGAGAGGGAAAAGUUUACACGCUCAAAUAUAACUUUGAUUUUGUCAUUUUUGAGCUUAAUGCAAUGUGUGUCAUUUCAUUGUGAAAUGUCAUGUGCAAGUAGAGUGGUUGACCAUGUAUGCUAAAAAAGUUUGGAUUUUUUCAAAAAAAAUCCAGUUUUUUUCCUGAAUAUACUAUUCAUAACGGGUGCGUGUGUGGAACCAUGUCCCAAAAAAUAUUCCUGUCCAUUGAAGGUCACGAAAUUUUAAAAAUUGUUGAGCUGGACGGGGAAGUUCCGGAAGCCAGUACUGAGAUACGUAUUUGGAAGUGUUAAAAGGAAAGCAUUAAAAAUGGGAAACGCCAAAAAUAAAAGAAUUCCAUUAUUACAGCAUUAAUUUGAAUUGACAGCCCCCAACCUGCAUUCAACAGUGAACGACACCCUCUGCAAAGGUGUCAGCAAACUUCCAAAUCAAAGAAACGCGGAAGUGCACACGACGCCAGCCGGAAGCGAGCGCCGAGAAAUCCCACCUUCCGAUCCAGCCCGCUCCUACGCGACGCCAUCGACGAUGUACAAGGCCAGUCUGAAUAAUCUAUGGCAGCGGCGCCGGUGGGCGGCGCCGGUGUACACCGACCGGCGCGAGGGCCCUGACCACGCGCCUACCUUCCAUUCCACCGUUGCCGUCGGCGGCGCUGAGUUCAGCUCGCCGGCGUCCGGAUCCCGCACGCUUCUCUAGGCGCAGGACCUCGCCGCCAGGGCAGCGUUGGAGCACCUCCCCGCCCCUCCGCAACUACUGCCCGGUGAGUAUGUGUACGCUCUAGCUAGCUAAUUAAAUCUAGUUUAAUUGUUCAAGAUUUUAGGGCUCCGGUUAGCGCCAGAUGCAUGCGCCGUCGCUGCUCUCCGCCCCUCUGCAGCUAUUUUCCAGUAUGUAUGCGCCUUAGCUAGCUAGAUCCGGUUAGUUCAAGAUCCUAGGGCUCUGGCUAGCGUCAGAUGUAUGCGCCAUCGCUGCUUCUCAGUCAGCUGCCGAAGCAGACUCCCAAGAACCUGAUCCGCCAUGACUGGUUGGGCCUCGUCAUGCUGGACAAGAAAGAUCACAGGAAGAUGGACUUGUUAAAAGUACAUCCAGAUUCAAGCUAUAGUCUAUACAUAUAAGUGGGUUACGUUGCCGAGCGUUUGCAGACCACCACUUCAAUGGCACAUCGUCGAUGAUGAUAUCACUACUAGGAGAAGAUCUUUCGUUGCGGCGGCGUGCCCUAUCUGCUGCCAACGAACGGGACAAGGUUCACUUGGUUUCUUUCACUGCGCUCUCUCAGGCUACGCCGACAUAGCAGACCUGGCAGGACAAGUCCGCCAAGCCCACUUAAUUUUUGCGGCUUGUCCGCGAGGCCGUUUAGCUAUUUUUUGCGGCGUGGGCGUCGGCGUCCGCCUGCAUCUUGAGAGAAGAGUGCAUUGCCAAAGGAAACCACAUAAUGGAUCAGCCACGAUAUCAUAUACUACCUGUAACGCACCACAAAAACAUAACAGCAGCUCUAGUAGAACAAUAUUGAAGAAAGUGCAUUCUAGCAGCAGUUCAUGUCCACAUUAGUUUUUUGCCGGGAAGUUCAUGUCCACAUUAGUUGAAUUAGUUUUCUUGCCUUCUCAUCUGGGAGAAAUGGAUAGCUUAUUGGGCUAUUGGCUAUUGAAUUUUUUUUCCUGUUCUCUUGAUUGGCCUUUACUACCUAUGUAGUUAUACAAAUGCCCCUAGUAAUAAAAAUUGAUUGAAUUUUUUUGUGUCUAUCAUGCCAUUGUCAUCUUUUAUUCCUGCAACUAAAAAUGGUCAUGAUGUUCUUUCACACAUGUUUCUUCUAUAUUCGUGGUACUCACUAAUUUAUCUAUUGCAGAAAUGCAUCUUCCUUACAAGUCACAGUUGCGAAAUUAUGCUCAAGAACUACGCAAAGAUUUACCUUUGUAUAACACCACUCAGAGUGGUCCACAUCAUGAACCUAUCUUCAAGUCAACAGUGACCAUAGAUGGGCGGACAUUUGGAGGUCUGCAAGACUAUGCUACAAAAAAGGAGGCCGAAUCGGCUGCUGCGGCAGUUGCCCUGGUGGCAAUACGGCAAGAAGCAAAAAGAUCAGAGCAAAUGCUUAUGGUUGGUUCCACCUUUUUUUAUAUUCUCAUAGGAGGCAAUUUAUUUGCAUUGCAUCACCUCUAUAUUAGGACUAACAUCCAUUGGCAUUUAUUUGUAUUAGUAGUAAGACCAUUCAUCUCCCACCUUGGAUUUCAAUAUUCAAGAACUGAGUAAACACUGUAUUGAUUCACUCACUUCACUUUGUGAGAAUUGACAAAUUAGAUCUCUAUCAAAUGUUCAACAUAAAAAUAACCCAUGUCCCUCCACACACACAAAAAAAACCUCUUGUGAAAAACCUUCUGUUAGUUCAUCUUUGGUAAAAGCAUUGUAUUUGGUUAACAUUUGAUAAAGGGUCAAUUUGAUAAUUUCUCACCUGUAUUUACUAUUUGCGGAAACAGUUAAAUUGGAGUAUUGACGAAGUGGCUUUUGUAUUUAAUUCUGUCAAAAAAAAAACUUCAUGCAUAGAACGAGCUGAAGGGAGACUAUACUUCAUGCAUAGAACGUUUUAACUAUGUACAACCUCCGUCAGCAGUUAACUUAGAUUUGUCUAGAUUCAGAUGUAUACCACUAAAAGGUGUCUAGAUACAUCCGUAUCUAGAUAAAUUUGAGUCAACUAAUUCUGGGAAGAGGGAGUACUAAAUUUGGCAAUUUCAUCAAACAAACUGCUUUAUCAGUUGUAGGCUCUUCAUGUACUUCUUUGACUGGAAUCAAGAUUAAUUAUAAGGUUCAGUUCCAAAUGUGUAGUGAAAAUUUUAAGAUAAAGAACAUUUUUGGGAGUGGGAGGGGGGCAUAGGGCAAUGCUUAUGACUCUACAGUUAUGGAAAGGCAUAUGCCAUAGUUUAUAAUAUCCUAAAUAGCUUCGCGAAGCCAGAAAUACUUUUCUAAUGUAUUUGCUGAAUUUUUAAAUACUAAUUUGAUGGAUUGUUUUACCUUCUGUAGGUUCAAACAAUGUCGGAUACAAAUCCUCGGCAUGUAUUACCUGAGAAAGAAGGCUCUCCCAAAUCAACGGUGCACACUCAAGAAGAAUGUUUUGAAGGGGAUACUUCCAAGAAGCAAAAACGGAUGCAUGUUGAUGAGCUUUAUUUUCAAAAUUCUAAAAACAGUAAGUAACUUAAAUUCCAAAAUUCAAGCUUCAUAUUGGGAAUGAACUUCACGAGUAGUUUUUAUUAUUAUAUUUUCAACUCAAUAUGAACCAAUUUUUUUGUUAUGGAUAUUAUCUAACUCGUUCUGUUUUAUUACAUUAUCGUACUCUGAUGCGCUGGCUUACUGUUGUACCAGUUGUGCAGCAUGUGUUACGUACUAGUGUGGCUCAGGUACAUUUUGAUGGUGUAUUAGAUUAUUAACACCUUAAAAGAAAGCAAAUUUCUGGACCUAGUUGAUACUACGUGCUCCCCAGUAAUCCCACCCAUAAAACAUAAAUCCCCAAAAAUGACAGGCUGUUACCACUAGCUGAUGCAAACUCUAUCAUGUAUAGUACAUUCUUCUAUCAUUCACUAUCAAAAUGCUUGCCUCAUCAACACGAUUAAUUGAUCUGAUUUCUCUAAGAAUAUAGCAGCAGUCGCUUCCCAACUAUUAUGUUCUCAAAUUUUUGGCAGUAGGAUCGACAAGGACUAAGAUUCCAUUUUCCAUGUGAUUGGUAAUUGCACCGAACAAACUUCUAAAGUCUUUUUGGCUGGUUAAUUAGGUUAAGAUGGAGGUGUAUGCUAACAUACCACUUGGUUAGCUUGUUUAUGAAUACAAAGAUGUAGCACACAAUUUUGACAGAAGAGUUGUUAUGACUUAACAAUCAAGAUUUGUAAUGAGCUCUAACUUUUGUCCAUGCUCAUUUCCUCAUAUGAUGAUAUGUUCCAUUCACAGUUCUAAAACCGGACUUGUAAGUGAACCUAUUCAGAUAACUAGUCAUGAUACUGUCAUAUUAUUAUCUUUCGCUAAUGUAAUUACCAUUAUAUUCGAAAUUUCUGUUAUAUUGAAUUAACAUUUAAGCUAACUGCAGCAAUUGCGACGCCUGUUGCUUGUGCCAAGUGCGGUUGCUCCAAGGCAACUGACCAGAUCAAGAUCUACCGACGCCAUCCUGGAAUGGUGUUACCAGAUGGGGCUACCAUACUCCCCUUUAGUGAUGAUGAGUGUGUGGCUGUGAGGCUAUCUUCCCCUCAACCCUGAAGGUAUUAUUUGCUUAAGCAUAUUUCCAUCGUUUAUUUAUCAGUAUCCAUUGCUCUUUGCUCUCUACUCAAGUAUUUUGUUUUCUCUGUAUCCAAAUUCCAGAUGCAGGUGGUGGGUACUAGCGCAGCCAAUGCACAAUUGCUGUUGUAUAUGUUGUAGUUUUACCCCAAGCUUGGCUCAACAUAUCCACACUGCAGCUGUAUUAUGUGCCUCUUCGAUUAAACAUGGUUACAGACUUGAUGUAAUAAGUUUAUGCUGAUGGUAGCUGGACCUUGGCCAACCAUAUCGCUUGUUAAACCUGGAUUAUGCAUGUUAUUACCAAGUUGUCACUUUGAGUUUACAAGACUGCAACUUUAAUUAUUGGGACCAUUCGGAGUUCU
rnacentral:lncRNA from 1 species